GGGCCCGCACAAGCGGUGGAGCAUGUGGUUUAAUUCGAUGCAACGCGAAGAACCUUACCAGGUCUUGACAUGUCACUUUUUUCUUGAAAAAGAAAGUUCCCGAGUGAACACAGGUGGUGCAUGGCUGUCGUCAGCUCGUGUCUUGAGAUGUUGGGUUAAGUCCCGCAACGAGCGCAACCCUUAUUCUGUGUUGCUAUUUAUAGGAAACUCAGAAGACUGCCGGUGAUAAGCCGGAGGAAGGUGAGGAUGACGUCAAGUCAGCAUGCCCCUUACGACCUGGGCCACACACGUGCUACAAUGGCCGGGACAAAGAGAUGCAAUCUCGCGAGAGCAAGCUAACCUCAAAAACCCGGUCUUAGUUCGGAUUGUAGGCUGAAACUCGCCUACAUGAAGCUGGAAUCGCUAGUAA
rnacentral:rRNA from 1 species